GUGUCAGCCGCCGCGGUAAUACGGAGGGUGCAAACGUUGCUCGGAAUCAUUGGGCGUAAAGCGUGUGUAGGCGGCCUGUUAAGUCGGGUGUGAAAGCCCCGGGCUCAACCCGGGAAGUGCAUUCGAUACUGGCAGGCUUGAGUACGGGAGAGGGUCGCGGAAUUCCCGGUGUAGAGGUGAAAUUCGUAGAUAUCGGGAGGAACACCAGUGGCGAAGGCGGCGACCUGGACCGAUACUGACGCUGAGACACGAAAGCGUGGGGAGCAAACAGGAUUAGAUACCCUGGUAGUCCACGCUGUAAACGAUGGGUGCUAGGUGUCGUGGGUAUUGACCCCUGCGGUGCCGAAGUUAACGCAUUAAGCACCCCGCCUGGGGAGUACGGCCGCAAGGCUAAA
rnacentral:rRNA from 1 species